rnacentral:lncRNA from 1 species
GUCUUUUCUGAUUUUAGUUUUGUUUUCUUUCAGGAGAGAUUUACUGCAAGUUCCUGAAAACCACUGCAAAGUUUCUCUCUGUACCAGCUGUGGAAAUGUCCUUCUUGUGCUGUUAAAUACUGAAGUACUGUUGGUAAGGUGCAACUGGAGUACAUAUCAGUUUCAACAGGUGUCACAAUUCUGAAGUAUUCUAAAAGCGAUGAUGUUCUCACCGCCAAAAUGGGGAGAGGAAAGACUGUCACAUGUGAGACAGACAUACAGUAUGUAAGUCAGGGUAUUCC